rnacentral:lncRNA from 1 species
GGAGAGAAACGGGGAGGAGGAGUUGGUUUGCAGUAGUUUAACUGUCAUUAAACAAGUAAGAAUGAUGAAAUCACGUCUAUUAAAUCUGGACUGACUGUAACAACCAGCUUUUCUCCAAGAUUUAAUGUAACCCAAGUGCUGUCCAAGGCACACCAGUUAAGGGAUCAAAGGUGUGAAGGCUGGUGAACAGGAGGAGGCAAGGAGAAGAAGGAUGUCAGAGGAGAAAAAGUAGAAACCAAUU